CCCGGACGGUUUAAUCGGUUAAAGGCGCCGCCCCGGAUAGGCGAAGGUUGCGGGUUCGAUUCCCGCUCCUGGA
rnacentral:tRNA from 1 species